GAUGAACGCUGACAGAAUGCUUAACACAUGCAAGUCCACUUGUGGCGGACGGGGGAGUAACGCGUAAAGAACUUGCCUCACAGAUAGGGACAACAUUUGGAAACGAAUGAUAAUACCUGAUACUGUGAGAGAGCUUUGCGUCCCAUUAGCUAGUUGGAGAGGUAACGGCUCACCAAGGCGAUGAUGGGUAGCCGGCAUGAGAGGGUGAUCGGCCACAAGGGGACUGAGACACGGCCCUUACUCCGACGGGAGGCAGCAGUGGGGAAUAUUGGACAAUGGACCAAAGUCUGAUCCAGCAAUUCUGUGUGCACGAUGAAGUUUUCGGAAUGUAAAGUGCUUUUAGUUGGGAACCGGUACCAACAGAAGAAGUGACGGCUAAAUACGUGCCAGCAGCCGCUGUAAUUC
rnacentral:rRNA from 1 species